rnacentral:rRNA from 1 species
UACAGAGACUGCAAGCGUUAUUCGGAUUCACUGGGCGUAAAGGGUGCGCAGGCGGCCGUGUGUGUGAGGCGUGAAAGCCUGGAGCUUAACUCCAGAAUUGCACCUCAAACUACACGGCUAGAGCAUUGGAGAGGGUAGCAGAAUUCACGGUGUAGCAGUGAAAUGCGUAGAUAUCGUGAGGAAUACCAGAGGCGAAGGCGGCUACCUGGACAAUUGCUGACGCUCAGGCACGAAAGCGUGGGGAGCAAAGGCAUGAUGAACC